GGGGCUAUAGCUCAGGCUGGAUAGAGCGACAGACUCCUAAUCUGUAGGUCGCAGGUUCAAAUCCUGCUAGUCCCACCA
rnacentral:tRNA from 1 species